AUUGAACGCUUUCGGCAUGCCUUACACAUGCAAGUCGAACGGUAACGGGUCCUUCGGGAUGCCGACGAGUGGCGAACGGGUGAGUAAUAUAUCGGAACGUGCCCAGUAGUGGGGGAUAACUGCUCGAAAGAGCAGCUAAUACCGCAUACGACCUGAGGGUGAAAGGGGGGGAUCGCAAGACCUCUCGCUAUUGGAGCGGCCGAUAUCAGAUUAGCUAGUUGGUGGGGUAAAGGCCUACCAAGGCAACGAUCUGUAGUUGGUCUGAGAGGACGACCAGCCACACUGGGACUGAGACACGGCCCAGGCUCCUACGGGAGGCAGCAGUGGGGAAUUUUGGACAAUGGGCGCAAGCCUGAUCCAGCAAUGCCGCGUGCAGGAAGAAGGCCUUCGGGUUGUAAACUGCUUUUGUCAGGGAAGAAAUCUUCUGGGCUAAUACCCCGGGAGGAUGACGGUACCUGAAGAAUAAGCACCGGCUAACUACGUGCCAGCAGCCGCGGUAAUACGUAGGGUGCGAGCGUUAAUCGGAAUUACUGGGCGUAAAGCGUGCGCAGGCGGCUUUGCAAGACAGAUGUGAAAUCCCCGGGCUCAACCUGGGAACUGCAUUUGUGACUGCAAGGCUAGAGUACGGCAGAGGGGGAUGGAAUUCCGCGUGUAGCAGUGAAAUGCGUAGAUAUGCGGAGGAACACCAAUGGCGAAGGCAAUCCCCUGGGCCUGUACUGACGCUCAUGCACGAAAGCGUGGGGGGCAAACAGGAUUAGAUACCCUGGUAGUCCACGCCCUAAACGAUGUCAACUGGUUGUUGGACGGCUUGCUGUUCAGUAACGAAGCUAACGCGUGAAGUUGACCGCCUGGGGAGUACGGCCGCAAGGUUGAAACUCAAAGGAAUUGACGGGGACCCGCACAAGCGGUGGAUGAUGUGGUUUAAUUCGAUGCAACGCGAAAAACCUUACCUACCCUUGACAUGUCAAGAAUUCUGCAGAGAUGUGGAAGUGCUCGAAAGAGAACUUGAACACAGGUGCUGCAUGGCCGUCGUCAGCUCGUGUCGUGAGAUGUUGGGUUAAGUCCCGCAACGAGCGCAACCCUUGUCAUUAGUUGCUACGCAAGAGCACUCUAAUGAGACUGCCGGUGACAAACCGGAGCAAGGUGGGGAUGACGUCAGGUCCUCAUGGCCCUUAUGGGUAGGGCUACACACGUCAUACAAUGGACGGUACAGAGGGCUGCCAACCCGCGAGGGGGAGCCAAUCCCAGAAAACCGGUCGUAGUCCGGAUCGUAGUCUGCAACUCGACUGCGUGAAGUCGGAAUCGCUAGUAAUCGCGGAUCAGCUUGCCGCGGUGAAUACGUUCCCGGGUCU
rnacentral:rRNA from 1 species